CCAUCUCAAACCAACAGACUACUUUUAGUGACAUUAUUUUUAAAAAAAACACUAUCAGAAUACCAUCUUAUACAACAGGCUCCAAGAUAAUUCAAAAAAUGUCAGAAGAUGUCAUUAUUAUCUACAGUGAUUCCUUACUGGAAAUCUAAGGAACCUUAGCCAUUGAUAAGGAAAGGUCUCAUUGCCCAACAACAAAUUCUACAUACAUGCCGUAAACAUGGAACAAAACACAACUUUAAAUGAGUUACAAAUCAAACAUACUCCUUGCUUUAUAGCUAAAAGUAUAACCAUCAAUAAGGAACAGCCAAACUACCCACAGACAGCUCCUACAUGCAGAUUAUCUAUAUGCAACAAAAUACAAUUUCAAGUCAGAAAUCAAAUUUUCAAACAUAAAAAGUAGGGUUUUUUGCAUGGAUACCCUUCUAAAUAUCAGAUUUUGCGUGAAUACCCUUCCAAAAUUGAUAUUUGCAUGUAUACCCUCGUAAAACUCCGUUAUUGUACAAAUACCCCUAAUAUAACGAUUGUUCUAACAGAGUUAAAAAAAUAUUUAUAUUAAUUAAAAAUAAAAUUAAAAAUUGAAAUGACGUUAUU
rnacentral:lncRNA from 1 species